rnacentral:tRNA from 1 species
GGCUGUGUAGCUCAGUGGCAGAGCGUCGCCCUCAUAAAGCGAUUGUCGCAGGUUCGAUUCCUGCCACAGCCA